rnacentral:lncRNA from 1 species
CCGUGAGGGUCCGACCGCCAACCUUGAGCACUGCCAAGUCGCCGAAGCCGCGGGAGAAGGAGUUGAUGGAGACCUCCAAGAAGCUGGUUCAAGCUCCCUAAACCCAGAGCUGGAGGAAGACCCUGCUGAACAGAUGACGUCACAGUCAGAGGCAGAAGCCCCAGGAUUGGUAGACAGACAGACGUUGGAAUGAGAGAAACAGAGUCCGGACCCCAGAUGGAGUUUCACUCCUGUUGCCUAGGCUGGAGUGCAAUGGCACGAUCUUGGCUCAUCGCAACCUCCGCCUCCCGAGUUCAAGCGAUUCUCCUGCCUCAGCCUCCCGAGAAGCUGGGAUUACAGGUAUGUGCCACCACGCCGGACUAAUUUUGUAUUUUUAGUAGAGAUGGGGUUUCUCCAUGUUGGUCAGGCUGGUCUCGAACUCCCAACCUCAGGACAUCUGCCCACCUCGGCCUCCCAAAGUGCUGGGAUUACAGGCAUGAGCCACCGCACACAGCUUGCUUUUUUUUUUUGAGACCGGGUUUUGCUCUGUUACCCAGGCUGGAACUCAGCGAUGCGAUCCUAGCUCACUGCAACCUUGACCUCCAGGGUUCAAGUGAUCCUCUCAUCUCAGCCUUCCGAGUAGCUGGGACCGUAGGAGCACACCACCAUGCCUGGCUAAUUUUUAUGUUUUUUGUAGAGAUGAGGUCUCACUAUGUUGUCCAGGCUGGCUUUGAACCCCCAGGCUCAAGCGAUCCUCUUAACUUAGCCUCCUAGAUAGCUGGGACUAUAGGUGUGAGUGAUUGUGUCUGGCUCGGUCUGUCUCUCUCUUUUUUUCUUUUCUUUUUUGAGACAGGGUCUCAUUCUGCUGUUGCCCAGGCUGGAGUGCAAUGGCACAAUCUCGACUCACUACAAGCUCUGCCUCCUGGGUUCAAGCAAUUCUCCUGCCUCAGACUCCUGAGUAGCUGGGAUUACAGGUGCCCAGCACCACACCUGGCUAAGUUUUAUAUUUUUAGUAGAGAUGGGGUUUCACCAUGUUGGCCAGGCUGGUCUCAAACUCCUGACCUCAGGUGAUCCACCCACCUCAGCCUCCCAAAGUGCUGGGAUUACAGGCGUGAGCCACUGCACCCAGCCUCUCUCUCUCUCUUUGUUAAAAAAAUCCCUGUCUCAGGACUGGGCAUAUUAACUCAUGCCUGUAGUCCCAGCACUUUGGCAGGCCAAGGCAGGAGGAUUGCUUGAGGCCAGGAGUUCAAGACCAAUCUGGGCAACAAAGUGAAACACCAACUCUACAAAAAAGUUUUAAAAUAUUAGCCAGGCAUGAUGGUGUGUGCCUGCGGUCCCAGCUACUUGAGAGGCUGAAGUGGGAGGAUUGCUUGAGCCCAGGAGGUGUAGACUGCAGUGACCUGUGAUCACACCACUGCACUCCAGCCUGGACAACAGAGCGAGUUCCUGUCUCAAAAAAAAAAAAAAAAAAAAAAAAGCGGGGAAUGGUGGCUCCCAUCUGUAAUCCCAGCACUUUGGGAGGCUGAGGUGGGUGGAUCACGAGGUCAGGAGUUUGAGACCAGUCUGGCCAAUAUGAUGAAACCCUGUCUCUACUAAAAAUACAAAAAUUAGCUGGGCAUGGUGGUGGGUGCCUGUAGUCCCAGCUGCUCGGGAGGCUGAGGCAGGAGAAUCACUUGAACUCUGGAGGCGGAGGUUGCAGUGAGCCGAGAUCAUGCCACUGCACUCCAGCCUGGGUGACAGAACGAGACUUUGUCUCAAAAAAAAAAAAAAAAAUCCCUGACUUACUUCCUCAGUCUCCUCUUGGAGCUUCCUGGGAUUGCCUCCCAGAAAAACCAUUUGUCUCUGAAUCCUUGCCUCAGGCUCUGCUUCUGGGGGAGGGGCAAAAUGAAGACAGCAGGGACUAUUGCCUUAUUGUUCAUGGCUGUGUCUCCAAGCACCCUAAACAGUACCUGGCACACAACAGGUGCUCAAUAAAUAAUUG